AUGUUUACAAGCGCUGGAUGUUUACUGUCAUUUACACAGAAAAAUGAUUUUUUUUUGUUUUUUUUUUAUUUCGGAACUGGGGCGAAAAAGUAAUUUUGGUUGAGGGUAAAAGUGUAAUUUUUUUUACCGAGGGCGAACUCGUAUUUUUCGGUUUAACUGGGUGUAAAGUCAUAUUUUUAUUUUGAACUGUUGGAAAAUCGUAAUUUUGAGGUUAGGGGAAAACCAUUAUUUUAUUUUUAGCUAGAGGCAAAAAAGUAAAUUUAAACCGAGGGUGAAAUCGUAAUUUUAUCGUAAUUUUGAGCUGGGGGUAAAAGCAUAAUUUUAUUUUUGACCUAGUGAGCGAAGACAUAAUUUAAAACCGGGGGCAAACCGUAAUUUUAAUGCGGGUAUAAAAUAAAAAGCUGGUAAAAUCGUAAUUUUUUAAUCGAUGGCAGAUUCAUAAUUUUGAGCUGCUAGCAAAAGGGUUAUUAUAUUUUUUAGUUGGGAGAAAAGCGUAAUUUUAAACUGGGGGCAAAACCGUAAUUUUAAAGUGGGUAUAAAAUAAUAAAAUGGUUGGUCUAAUAGAAGAGGGGCGGCCGCCCAUUUUAACCAAUGGCAGAAAGCACUAUUCCCUGCCAUGAUAAAUGUAUAUGUUGAAAAUACCUUUAUAAUGUUUAAGAGACGAGAACGGUAGUGGUACCGUGUCAAACAUUAUUACGAUAUUCUAUAUGUUUGAUUGAUAUCGGUAUGGUAUGGUACGGUUAAAACUUUUGAACCAGUACCGUACCGCAUGACACGACACUGAUACUGAAAUUUAGCUAAAUUUAAAACCGAAAGUUUUAUAUGUUUCGAGUCUCCCCCUUUAUUUUUUCUUUAAAACUUUUGGCUUUCCUGUAUAAAAGUUCAAGAUCCGUCACUGUUUGCAGAGCCGUCCCCGAGAACUCUUAAAGUAUUUAGGCUUCGAGCGACAAAAAAAAUUGGGCCUAAAAUUGUGGUUAAGG
rnacentral:lncRNA from 1 species